AUAUCUUCAGCGACUGCUGUUGGUGAUGGAAAGGGAAAUGGAAUUUUGUCUAAAUAUUAUGUUGUUCUGAAAGGUCUGACUAAUGUGAAAGUCCCUAUUUAAAAAGGAGUUGACUCUACAUCGAAAUUGGUUGGCAUUUCCACACCCACAUGUUGACUAAGGCCUUGAAAAACAAACUUCCUGGUAGAUCCUGAUUCAAGUCACCUGGGAGUGAAUGCUUCACACUACAAUCCAUGAGCUGUGAGCAGAACGGCUGAGCCAAGAAAAAUCCUGUGUCUGUGUUUAUGAAAAAGCAAACAGAUCCCAAAAGGAGGCCCAGGUCUAAGCUGGCUGGGGGGCACAGGCCCUCCAGGAAAGGACACGGGGCUCGAGGGAGGCCUGAGCCCAGCUUCUCCCGGACCCCACCCAGUGCCCCCUCGAAUGAUAAACGAUAUGAACGUUCUAGAUCAGUGAAUUGCCCUGAUUCAGCCACUAGUGAGUGGCAGAGUUGGAAUUCAAAGCCAAGCUUUGCACCGCUGAAAACGCAGGCCCCAGGGAGUUCUUCCUCAUUCCCAACAUCAAAGAUCUUAAGGAGCAUGAACCGCAGAGCCCAGCAGCCCUUUGGGAGAUGGUACCUGCUGGAAGCCUUCUUGUCCCUGAACAGGAACACAGCAGCAUCGGGGCUCAGCAGGUGGGAUGCAUGUUCCCCACGGGUGCUGCCAGCCCAGCUCCUGAGCCCUGACCUCCAUCCAUGGCCACAUCAGCGCAGUCACCAAGACACCCUACUUCCCUGGAAGGCCUCCCUGGGGUCCCUCCUCACCGACCUUCCCUGGUUGCGCUUCUCUAGUUCUUGUUGCUGCGAUGCGGGUGGGAUCCACUUGUGUUCGCGAGAUCUGCUGCAACAUCUGUUUACGUGUCAGGAUCACGGCACUGGCAUGGUCCAAGCACAUUUUCACCAGAGCAGACACUCAGGUCCAGAGAAGACACGGCUGAAAAUCAAAGGCAGAAGAUGGUGGCUGCCGGGCAGAGGACACCUCCAGAAACACCUAGAGACAUCCUUUAUGUGAUGGGACUUGAUCGAUGCCAGAGACCAAGAUAUCUGUUUGAUUCCACCCCUCAGCCCCGAGAAGAUCCCAGUUAGCAGCAGGGCCUGCAAUCAACCUCCCAAAGAACCCACUGGCCUGCCUCCCAGUGGGCCAUGGAUGCCCCCAACAGCAAAGAACUCACUGGCCCUGCAGGGCCCACUGUCCUCAGACAACUAGCCGCCGGGAAUUCCUUCCUUCCACGAGCGGCCUGCGGAUCCCUUUUACCCUGUGGUCUUGGCUCCUCCCAGUGACCCAACGCAGGGCCAGUUGCCCAUCAGCUUGACAACAGUGGAAGACAAAAUCUGUGGCUCGUUCCCUCGCUCCUCGCAUGAUGUUGACUUGGAGCCUGCAUUGGGACUGCAGCUGUGGGGACAAACCUGAAGUUGAAGCCCACUUGUGCCUUUUAUCUCCUGUGUGUCCUCGGCCAAGUCACUAAACCUCUCUGAACUUCAGUUUGCUCA
rnacentral:lncRNA from 1 species